GAUGAGCGCUAGCUACAGGCUUAACACAUGCAAGUCGGGGGGAAACGAUAGAGAAAGCUUGCUUUUUCUAGGCGUCGACCGGCGCACGGGUAAGUAACGCGUAUCCAACCUGCCCAUCACUUGGGGAUAACCUUGCGAAAGUAAGACUAAUACCCAAUGAUAUCUCUAGAAGACAUCUGAAGGAGAUUAAAGAUUUAUCGGUGAUGGAUGGGGAUGCGUCUGAUUAGCUUGUUGGCGGGGUAACGGCCCACCAAGGCGACGAUCAGUAGGGGUUCUGAGAGGAAGGUCCCCCACAUUGGAACUGAGACACGGUCCAAACUCCUACGGGAGGCAGCAGUGAGGAAUAUUGGUCAAUGGGCGAGAGCCUGAACCAGCCAAGUAGCGUGCAGGAUGACGGCCCUAUGGGUUGUAAACUGCUUUUAUAAGGGAAUAAAGUGAGUCUCGUGAGGCUUUUUGCAUGUACCUUAUGAAUAAGGACCGGCUAAUUCCGUGCCAGCCGCCGCGGUAA
rnacentral:rRNA from 1 species